ensembl:lincRNA
UUCUUGGCCCUGGGAAAGCCCGCGGGGGGCCGUGGGGUGGGGUUGCCUGGGGCGCAGGGGGGAUGUUGGAGAGGGAGGGGUCCCAGCCCUCUGGGUGGGGACACGGGGCCCCCAGCCAGCAUUUGUGCACUGGCUACUUCCCCAGCGCUAGGCCCCGGAAGGAAGCGGAUACUUGAAGCUGCGCUGGGCCUCAAUUCUCCAUCUGUGCAGUGGGCUGCUAGCAGGAGAGUGAGGUUUUAUGGGGCUGGGGAAUCGAACCCAGGGCCUCCUGCCUGCUAGGCAAGCACUGUACCACCCUGCGUACCACCCAGCCUGUAGCAGCUAUCAGAUGCUGCCCACCUCUGCACUGGGGAUUGGACCCAGGGCCUUUGCCCUGAGCUACAUCCCCAGCUCUUGUUUAUUUCAACAAAGGUCACACUGAGUCACUAACUUGCCCAGGCUGGACUCUACCUUCUCACUCUCCUGCCUCAGCCUCCCAGAGUGCUGGGAUUACAGGUGUGGGGCACUUGUUGAGGAAAAGUCACUUCCUUCUGCCUCCUGCAGGCAAAUGUUGAUUGAGCACCUAUUACCUGCUGGCAUUGUGUUGGGCCUCGAGGUUAAAGCGGUGACUGAGAGAAAAGUCUGAGAAGACGAGGCUUCAGAGACGAGACUCCAGAGCCAAAUCAAGAGGAAAAACCCAUCUGGGAGAAUCGGGUAGAGCCGCGGGACACAGAGAUCUCCAAGACACGCUGGGCGAAGACAGUAAGUUAAAGAACAACAAAGCACACCCUUGAUGAAGAUCUUUCGUGUUGGACGAGGGUGCCACAGUAAGUUUUGGGACUUCUGAACCAUUGGAGUCAUUUGUUGUAGGACAGUGGAUGUCCCUCGAGACCGGACUGCUAGAUGGAACAAAUCAGACCCAGAAGGUUGAACAUCACAUGGAGACAGGAGCUCCCGGGUCUGCCUGCUGACGGCCGCCUCCUCCGGACUCCAGGGGAGCUGCCGAGGACAGGAAGGAAGGGGCUGCAGUCAAGGGAGAGUCGCUGCCGGAAGUCACGGGGCCUCUCUGAUCCGCAGAGCCCCCUAAGGCUCAACACAGAGCCUGGACACGGAGAUGGAGAGGGACUCACUUCACAGUCGGGAGGAAGAUCAUGUGAGAAAACGCGUAUACCAGGCCGGGCGUGGUGCCCAGCACUCAGGAGGCUGAAGCAGGAGGAUUGCUGUGAAGUCGCGGCCUAGACUACGUGGCCAGACGCUGUCUCAGAAACAGCCAGGUUUCUGUAAAUGUCUUUGUAAGUGACAUCAUGCAACAGUGUCACUAUUAAUUCUUUUCUUUCAUCUUCCCUGCCUCACCUCUGAGUCCCUGCCCAUCCUGUCCUCCACUACCUCUCCUGUCCUCCUGUCACACUUUAACAGAGUGUUUCUUACAGGUGGGCGACCCUAUUUGAAAUAUCUCAAUUUGUCUUCCCCAAAACUUUAUGAGAUGAAUUCUCUGUUUAUUUUCAUUUCCCAGGGAAGGAAACAAGUACAGAGAGGCCAAGACACCGGCCCAAAGCAAAUGGCUUAUACGUAUGGUACACAUUUGAGACUCAAAUCCAAAUAUUCUGAUGUUAAAGUCAUCAGAACUUCUAACUACAGCUGUAUCCCGAUUCCCCUUUGCCUAUCAAAACCUCCCAACCAAUCCGGCCAGCAGGGAAUCAAGGCAGAUAUUCUCUGGCUCCUCUACCUGGGGAACAGAUUUUUGUGACACAUCAGUCAUUUACACAUUAGUCUAAAUGACAGCCUACUUUCCAAAUUUCUUUCCUGACCUGUCUCUGUGCCCCAGAGCUGUUUGUAACUCCCCAGCUUAGCAUUUGCCACAGGCAUUGUAAUCAUCCUCUGUCCCCCGUGGAGAUAAACUUGUGGAUUGGAUCACCGAGGGUGGUAUUUAUUGGUUUCAGCAUCCCUGGAGAAUCACCCAGCUGACACUAGGCGAGAAGUGAUGAACAAAACUAAUGAAAUGAGUUAAUAAAACCUGUCCCAGUGAACGGCAUGCACAAGAAUAAACCUUGGCCAUUUCCCUGUUAGUGAGACGACAGCGCUAGGGUACUUGGAGUGAGGACCAGCUGGCCAGAAAGAACCGGUCAUAGAGACCCAAGGCCCCUUCCGCUCCCAGGAACCUCCCCCAGCACCGCCUGUGCGUCCUUCCUCCUCCCUGAAGUCCUCAGGGACACCCACCUCCUAACCGUCC